GAUUAACGCUAGCGGCAGGCCUAAUACAUGCAAGUCGAACGGGAUUUCGGUUAGCAAUAACUGGAUGAGAGUGGCGCACGGGUGCGUAACACGUAUGCAACCUACCUAUAACUGGGGGAUAGCCUCCCGAAAGGGAGAUUAACACCGCAUAACAUUAUGAAGUGGCAUCACUUUAUAAUUAAAUCUACGGAGGUUAUAGAUGGGCAUGCGUCCGAUUAGCUAGUUGGUGAGGUAACGGCUCACCAAGGCUCCGAUCGGUAGGGGGUCUGAGAGGAUGAUCCCCCACACUGGUACUGAGACACGGACCAGACACCUACGGGUGGCUG
rnacentral:rRNA from 1 species